UACGGAGGGGGCAAGCGUUGUUCGGAAUUACUGGGCGUAAAGGGCGCGCAGGCGGCUGCUCAAGUCAGGCGUGAAAGGCCUGGGCUCAACCCGGGAAUUGCGCUUGAGACUGGGCUGGCUUGAGUGCGGAAGAGGCGAGUGGAAUUCCUGGUGUAGCGGUGAAAUGCGCAGAUAUCAGGAGGAACACCGAUAGUGAAGGCAGCUCGCUGGGACGGUACUGACGCUGAGGCGCGAAAGCGUGGGGAGCGAACAGG
rnacentral:rRNA from 1 species